CUCAGGACGAACGCUGGCGGCGUGCCUAACACAUGCAAGUCGAACGAGAUCCAUGGGAGCUUGCUCCCGGAAGAUCUAGUGGCGAACGGGUGAGUAACACGUGAGAAACCUGCCCUGGAGUGGGGAAUAACUCGGGGAAACUCGAGCUAAUACCGCAUACCCUCGGAUGGUCGCAUGGCCGACCGAGGAAAGAUUUAUCGCUCUAGGAGGGUCUCGCGGCCUAUCAGCUAGUUGGUGGGGUAACGGCCUACCAAGGCAACGACGGGUAGCUGGUUUGAGAGAACGAUCAGCCACACUGGGACUGAGACACGGCCCAGACUCCUACGGGAGGCAGCAGUGGGGAAUCUUGCGCAAUGGGCGAAAGCCUGACGCAGCAACGCCGCGUGCGGGAUGACGGCCUUCGUGGUUGUAAACCGCUUUCAGCAGGGACGAAAAUGACGGUACCUGCAGAAGAAGCCCCGGCUAACUACGUG
rnacentral:rRNA from 1 species